rnacentral:rRNA from 1 species
GUAUUGGAUAUCCGCGUCCAAGCAGUUAGGCUGGGAAAUAGGCAAAUCCGUUUCCCAUAAGGCUGAGCUGUGAUGGCGAGCGAAAUAUAGUAGCGAAGUUCCUGAUUCCACACUGCCAAGAAAAGCCUCUAGCGAGGUGAGAGGUGCCCGUACCGCAAACCGACACAGGUAGGCGAGGAGAGAAUCCUAAGGUGAUCGAGAGAACUCUCGUUAAGGAACUCGGCAAAAUGACCCCGUAACUUCGGGAGAAGGGGUGCUCUGUUAGGGUGCAAG